AAUAAAGUGCCUGACAAAAAGGAUUAUUCUGAUAGGAUAAAUUAUGUAAACUUUUACCUUUAUUA
rnacentral:tRNA from 1 species